AGAGACAUAUUCCCGGUCCGUAACAAGCUUACAGCCUAGAGGGGACCGAAAAAUUUUCCCUUGCCACUGCUGCCCUCAUAAGUGAUGAAUGUUGCAGGUAACCUACUGGUUUAAAUAGUGGAAGUUAAAAAAAAAAGAAAUCAUGCCCAAACAAAUGACUAUUACGCGCAACUUUAGUACCAAAGUGGACCCUACGGUAAGAUCUGGAAACAGAGGAGCCAAGACUUCUAUAAACAUUUCUACCACACACGUAAUCGUGACCCUCGGAGAUGAGGGUAGAUUGCAUAAACGGCGAUAUAAAUUCACAUCACGUUCCACUUGUGGAUGUCACUACGCCCCGCCCAUACCGAUGGCAUUAUGGUUUCCGUAGUAACCGGAGAAACAAAAAGUAGAAAGACUAAAAAUGCACAAAAGGCAAAUAAAAGAAGAUAAAGAUGUGCCAUAAACACAGUAUGCGAUGCUAUUCGGUUCAACAGAAUUUGCUUUCGCACAUCACUUGGGUGAGGCAAUAUAUCUAGAAAAGCAAAAUGUUCCGAGCCAGAUAAAAGCGCCCCAAAUUAAAGCUGCCUCAGUCCCUGUUUGACUCUCCAAGUGGUUUUCACCUGACUUUCUCCCGUCCCAGGAAAUGAGAUUGAUGUCUUUGAGGAAGAACAGGGCCGGCUUACGUUCAAGGAGACCGUCUGAGGUAUCGCUGCCGUAUCCAGUGCUCUGUACACGACAGGGUGCACUUGCAACUGAAGGCGGUUGUGUGCUUUCAACCGAAAGUAUAUCAUCGUCUGAAUAUUUGGGAUGCAGUCUAACCCGAGGGUGACUUGGCAGAAUGAAGACUGGAUUGAAUCAGACAUCUUCUUCUCAAACACUAAUGGAAAAGUAUACAGGUCGAAAGGGAGUCUAUCGAGUGCUAUAACGAUUUUAUCAUCAAAGAUUUUUUGAGCCCCGGUA